UCAAUAUGUAAUUCAUAACAUAAAUAUUCAUUUCAUUUAAAUAAUCAACAUGGCUUAUGAGUAUCAUAAAAGCUUGGCUCCUGCCAAAAUCAUUCUCGGGAAUAACUUGGCCGAGGCAUUUAACCGAGUCCGCCAAGGUUGUUAAAAAGUUCGUAUACACGUAAACAUGUCUUUAUUUUAAAAACACAGCCGUUCCUUGGCAUUAGCGGAGUUCAUCAUCACGAGGUGGUUCAACGUGACAUGAACUCUAACCAUACCUCAGGAGAUACCCUACGUGCCUCUUCGACCUAGGUACAUAUAUAACUGGAUUUCGUGCCCCUCAAAAAGGCUGGUCCAUAGAACCCGCCCACUGCAGCAAGCUAAUCCCACCAUACAAUAAAAUUUUGACAGCAUGACAUGACUAAUAUUAUACUACCCAGCCUGUAAAUGUAAAACAGAAUAAUUCAUACAGUUCACAAAUCAUAAUUCCAGCUAGUCAUGCCAACACAUUAUCAUAAGCCAUCAAUUAGAAUCAUAAAUUACAACCCAUCAAGUGGUCUCUAGUUACUCUAUUUUCAAAGCCAUCAUUCAAUUUUAAGACAAUUUAUAAAAUCAUUUUAUUUAAACACAUUUUGUUUAUAAAACCUAAAAAUUAACCAUUUAAACUCAUUUUCCACAAAUUUCACAAAAUCGAAUAAAAAGACCACUUUAGAUAAUUAAAAUGAUGAUAAGGUUACUCUCUAUUUCGGGAGUCAAAUUUCUAGGGUACUCUGACUACCGAUCCUCGGGUACGAUUUCUUUGCCCUUAGCGGAGGAUUCACCAUAUAUACAUCAUACGUGACACGAAUUUCAAUAAUUUAUGUCAAUUUAUCAUAAACUAUUUCAGGCUUUAUAAAUCUAUAUGAAUGCACAAAAUGUGAUGCAAAAUGUCCAAAUAGCCAUUUAAAUACGGUAUUCGACCUAAUUCGCACUAUUCUCGGUAUAAUUGACGAAAACCUUCAAUUUAACUCCAAAUCGAUUUCUUUCACUUUCUACACUCCAAUUAUACUUAAAUACCUCAAUGACUGUGAAUAUGAUUCAAUUUAUCUAUCCGAACCAUAAAUCGCACAUGUAUAUACAUUAGGUAAAAAUUCAUAUUUUCAUGCCAAAAUUUCCCAUUAAAUUUCUAGCCUCACCAAUCAUUAAAUACCACCAAAAUAUCAUGAAAUAUCAUCAAUUUCAGCCUCAAUAUCCUCCUUAGAAAAUUCAGCCUCUUGUGGGUUUGUGAAGAACAAAGUGAUUCCUUGCUAGAUUUUCAUACUUUCCAUUACCAAACAACCAAAAACACUUAACUAGCUUGAAAUCUAGCAAAAUCCAUGCUCAAAACCUCUCCUCUCAAAUUCGGCCAGCAUGGGUUCAUCAUGCAAACUUGAGUUCUAAGCAUGGAAAAUGAAAAAGAAAGCAUGGGUAGUGUAAAUCACAAGAUAAAAUUAUAAAAUUUUACCUUUAUUAGCUUAAUCCCUUGAAAUCUCACACUUUUUCUUCAAUUUUCCCACCUAGGGUUUGUGUUCUUUCUUUUCUUUCUUUGUUCUUCCUUUGGUUCUUGUUUUGGUCGGCCAUAUGAAGAGAAAUAGGCUGAUUUUAUGUUAAUUUAAAGCUAAAUAAUAAAUGGAUAUAAACUUGACACAUGUCACCAUUCCAUUGGUCCAUGUGUCAUACUUACCCAUUAAGCAAUCUCUCUCCACCACUUAAAUUUCCUCAAUUAUCCAUAAUAAUAUUGGGUAAAAUCCAUGUGCUGGACAAAUGUUAGGUGGUGUAAAAUUACAAUUUUGCCCCUAGGGUGGCAAAAUGACUAUAUUUACCUCUAUGCUCGAAAAAAUGUCAGAAUUAAAAUUUUUCACUUCUCAAACUCAAAUUAUGUUCAAAAUAGUCAUUCUUGAUCAAAAACUUCUUCCAACAUUCACAUCUUAACCUCGGGUGGCAAAAUUACCAUUUUGCCCCUAGAUCAUGAAAAUUCUAAUUUGACUCCAAAUCGGUCCUCGAACUCUGAAUCACCAUUUUAAGUUAUUCUGAGAAUUUAAAAUUCUCAAUUUCAUCUUAAGAUCUCUCUUUAGACUAGUUCGAGGCUUAAUUCAACUUAGUUGUACUAUUAAGUACACUACCGGCUCUUUACGAUUUUUCGGGGCUUUCCUAGUAUGCAAGCAUAUUGUCAAUCACAUGAAUGACAUGGCAAGUAUUUUAUAGAGUUAGGCUUGACAACACUACCCCCCUUAAAAUAAAAUUUUGACCUCAAAAUUUUACUUACCAGAUUCAAAGAAAAGAUGUGGAUAUUGGUUCCUCAUCUGGUGCUCGACUUCCCACGUCAUCUCCUCCAUUCGAGCAUUCUUCCACAACACUUUAACCAUUGGAAUGCUCUUGUUCCUCAACACUCGAUCCUUUCGAUCUAGAAUUCGUACAGGUUGCACUUCGAACUUCAAAUCUUCAUGCAACUCAAUGGGAGGUGUCUCUAGAACGUGGGAAGGAUCGAGACAAGACGUGGAAGACAUUAUGAAUCCGAUCUAACUCCGGGGGUAAUUCAAGUCUGUAAGCCACUGGCCUAAUCCUUUCAAUGAUACGAAAGGGUCCAAUAUAUCUCGGAUUGAGCUUUCCCCGCUUUGCGAAUCGAAUCACACCUUUUAUUAUCCAAUAAAUACCACAAAUUAUCACAAUAGUGUAAUCAAAUAAGAUUUAAUACUUGAAAUUUUCAAAUUAUUACCUUUCCAAGGAGAAACCUUAAGAAAAACUUUAUUGUCCACUUCAAACUCCAAAUUUUUCCUUCGUUUAUCAGAAUAACUCUUUUGCCUAUCUUGAGCUGUCUUUAAUCGCUCUCGAAUAAUCUUAAUCUUGUCAUUUGUCAGAUCAAUCAAUUCCACAUUAACCAAUUUCCUCUCACCUACUUCAUCCCAACAGAGCGGAGUUCGGCACUUCCUUUCAUACAGAGCCUCACAUGGUGCCAUCCCAAUACUAGAUUGAAAACUAUUAUUAUACGCGAACUCCACCAAUGGCUAGUGUCUGUCCCAACUCCCAAUAAAGUCAAUGACAUAAGCCCGUAACAUAUCCUCCAAGGUCUGAAUAGUCCUUUCAGAUUGACCAUCAGUCUAUGAAUGAAAGGCAGUACUAAAUCUCAAUUUAGUUCUGAGAGCUUCCUGAAAUUUUGGCCAAAAUCGAGAAGUAAAUCGGGGGUCUCGAUCUGAAAUAAUAAAAACUGGAACUCCAUGUAAUCUCAUAACCUCAUCUAUAUAAAGUUUCGCCAAUUUCUCAAUAGAAUACGUGCUAUGGAUAGACAAGAAAUGGGCGAACUUAGUCAAUCUAUCCACAAUCACCCAAAUAGCAUCCUUCCCACUCUGUGUCCGCAGCAAACCCAAUACAAAGUCCAUAGUCACGUGUUCCCACUUCCAUUCCGGAAUAGGUAAAGGCUGAAGAGUACCUGAUGGUUUUUUAUGCUCUGCCUUGAUUUGUUGGCAUGUGAGACAUUUCGCUUCAAACUCUGCUAUGUCUUGUUUCAUACCCAGCCACCAAUAACUUUCCUUGAUAGUCCGAUACAUCUUGGUGCUUCCGGGUUGUAAAGCGUAGGCGGAAGAAUGAGCUUCCUCUAAAAUAGCUCGUCUCAAUUGAUCAUCCUUUGGGACACAAACUCGAUCUCUAAGCAUCAAAGUACCAUCAUCACUGAGUCUAAACUCACUAGUUUCUCCAUCUUGCAGCUUUUGAACUUUAUGCUUCAACCAAUCAUCGGAUUUCUACAAUUAUUUGAUUUGAUUUAACAAUGAAGGUCUCACAACGAAACUAGCAAGUAGGGUUCCAUCCUCACCAUUAUUCAAUUGGAUCCCUAGAGACUUCAUCUCAAAUAAUAUCGAAAAAUAAGAACUCUGAAAUGCUACUAAUAAAGAUGAGGAUUUACGACUUAAAGCAUCCGCUACAACAUUUGCCUUUCCCAAAUGAUAACCAAUCACCAAGUCGUAAUCCUUAAUCAACUCCAACUAUCGUCUCUGUCUCAAAUUAAGUUCUUUUUGGGUGAGCAAAUAUUUCAAACUCUUAUGGUCGGUAAAAAUCUGACAACGCUCACCAUAUAAAUAAUGCCUCCAAAUCUUUAAUGCAAAGACUACUGCAGCUAACUCCAAAUCAUGGGUAGGGUAAUUCGUCUCAUGCUUCUUCAACUGCCGGGAAGCAUAAGCUAUUACUUUUUCAUCCUGCAUCAAUACGCACCCUAAUCCCAACUUAGAGGUAUCACUAUAUACCACAAAUUCUUUUCCACUAACAGGAAGUGUCAAAACGAGAGCGGAGGUUAACCAGUUCUUUAGCUCCUGAAAUCGACUUUCACAGACAUCAUCCCACUCAAACUUAACUCCUUUAUGAGUCAAACGAGUUAGAGGAGCAGCUAUCAAUGAGAAUCCUUAAACAAACCUCCGAAAAUAACCGGCGAAGCCAAGAAAACUAUGAAUCUCUGUUACCGUUUUCGGUUGCUCCCAUUGCAAGAUUACUUCAAUCUUCUUGAUAUCGACAUAAAUUCCAACUCCAGAUACCACAAGUCCCAAGAAAACCACUUCCUUCAACCAGAACUCACAUUUAGAGAACUUGGCAUAGAGUUGUUUCUCGCGUAAAGUUUACAACACAAUGCGCAAAUGGGAAGCAUGUUCAUCAUCAUUCUUCGAAUAAACUAGGAUGUCAUCUAUGAAUACUAUCACAAACUUAUCCAGGUAUGGAUGGAACACCCUAUUCAUAAGAUCCACAAAAGCUGCCAGGGCAUUAGACAAACCAAACAGCAUCACCAGAAACUCAUAAUGCCCAUAACGCGUCCUAAAAGUAGUCUUGGGUACAUCCUGCUCCUUAAUCUUCAAUUGAUAAUACCCAGACCUCAAAUCAAUAUUAGAAAACACCAUAGCACCUAGUAAUUGAUCAAAAAGAUCAUCGAUCCAUGGUAAAGGAUAUUUAUUCUUGAUGGUCACUCGUUCAACUGACGGUAGUCAAUACAUAACCGAAGAGUGCCAUCAUUCUUCUUUACAAAUAGAACUGGUGCUACCCAAGGAGAAGUGUUAGGGCGAAAAAAAUCCUUAUCCACCAAAUCUUGCAGCUGAACUUUUAGUUCCUUCAACUCCGCCAGAGCCAUUCGAUAUGGAGGGAUAGAAAUAGGUGCGAUAUCUUAUAGUAAAUCAAUAGGGAACUCAAGCUCUCGUUCAGGAAAUAGUCCCGAUAAUUCUUAAGGAAAUACAUCAGGAAACUCACUAACUAUUGGGACAUCCUCUAAUUUAGGUUCCACUUUUGAAGUAUCGAUCACGUGAGCCAAAUAAGUAGGAUACCUUUUCUGUACUAGUUUCAAAGCUUUAAUGGCUGAGAUUACACAAGGCGGUAAUACUCGACGUUUUCUUGCAAAAACAAUCUCUGUUCCCUCCGAAUUUCGAAGAACAACUUCUUUCUCGAAACAAUCUACAUUGGCCCGAUGUGCAGUUAACCAGUCCAUACCCAAUAUCAAAUCAAAAUCUUAGAUUUCUAGAGGAAUCAAGUCACCCCUAAAUUCUUCCUCACUAACUAUUACUCCACAAUCUCUGUGACAACUAUUUCUAACUAACUUCUCUCCUAAAAAGGUGUGAACUACAAUUUCUUCCUCUAAUGGUGACAGGUUUCUAUCAGCAAUUGAUGCAAAUGCCAUACUCACAUAAGACCUAUCUGAGCCAGAAUCUAUCAAAACAUAAGCAUCUUUAUCAAAUAAAGACAUAGUACCUGUCACUGCUCCAAGUCGAACUCGUGCCUCAUCUUCCGUCAGAACGAAAACUCUUGUGGAAGUACGAGUCUGUGGUCUCGAAGGUGGAUAUGCUGGGGUGUUACUCUCUACACCAGACUAUAUAGCCACUCUUUGCCUUAAUGGUAACCCAAAAGGAUCUCUCCUCCACAUAUCCGUACGAGCUGGUGGAGAUGGAGUAAUUGUAGUAACCCGUCCUAGCUGUGGGCACUCACUCUUAAUGUGACCCAGCUGAUCACAAUGAUAACAUCGUACUGGUCCCCUACACUGCCUAACAUGAUUCUUCUCACACUUCUUCCAUCUAUCAGAACCUUCGAAACUCUUCUUAGAAUAAGUCAUCAUAGAUCUACUGAAUUUCAGAGGCCUCUGCUGUGUUUGUGAAAAUGAAGGUCGAGGAUAUGUCACUGAAAUAGAGGUAGUACUCCUCGAAGCAGAUGAGUCUUUUUCAUUUUUAGGUGGCUGACUGAAAGAUACACUCGAACUUCUCCUUUUUGCAAACUCAGCUCGCAUUCUCCUAUUUUCAUUUGUAAGCUUCUCGGUCCUUAAAGCCAUCUGUACCACUUCCUUAUGUGGCUCCCUACUAGUCAUUGUCAUAUGCUCUCUAAUCUCAUUACGGAGCCCUUCCUCAAAAUAAUUGGCCUGAUCCUGCUCAGAUUUCACCAGAUCCGACACAUAUAACAUCAGCUCGUUAAAACGAGCCUCGUACUCCUCUACCGUUAAGUUUUCCUGUUUCAAACUCAAAAAUUCCCUCUUUUUUUCUUUUUGAUGGAAAUAAGUGAAAUACUGACCAUGAAAUUCUCUUAGAAAGUCUGACCAGGUCAGAGGAGUAGUGGAACGAGAUUUUACUGAAUUCCACCAUGUACGGGCUUUCUUCUCUAGUAAUCUCAUGGCCACCAUCAACUUCAUGUCAUCAUCCAACCUCAUAUCAAAGAGUGUCUCCAAAAUCUGAUUAAUCCAAUCUUUGGCUACUGUUGCAUCCAAAUCACCCGUAAAAGAAACGUAACUCAGUUGUCUAGCUUCCUUCCACUUCUUAGCAAUGGAUACAUCUUGUACUGGCGGUGGAACUGGAGGUGGGGGUGGUGGUACUGAAGGAGCAACUGGUGGUACUAUAGAAGGAGCCUGACCAACUUGAGCCUGGCCAGCAAUAGCGGUAAAGAAGGCUGCCAAUGCCUGGACUACCUCAAGAGACAUGGCAGGAAUAUUAGUAGGUGGCGGACGAUGUGAAAAAUGUGGAGAAUAUGGAGAAUGUGGAGGAGUCUCGGCCCGCUCAACAGUAGGUGCUGCCCUAAUGGUGGACACAGCUGAUUCCUCCUCUACUGCAUCUAGCUGACGGCGUUGGGAAUGACCUCUUCCCCUCCCAGCCGAUCUAGUGAGAGGUGGGUGUUCGCGUCGAGGAGGCAUGAUAAUCUAUAAGAGGAAACAAACAAGUUUAGGCAACCUCAAGCUCUAUAUGCAAAUGCAUGCAUCCUAUUCAACCUAACCUAACUUAACCCGAGGCCACACUGACACUGUAAAUUUUUAAAACAACUUUGAAACCAAAAGCUCUGAUACCAAUCAAAUUGUCACGACCCGGAACUCCCAUCGACCCCGUGACAACCGUCGCGACAUCCCGAUAGACAUUUAUUACCCGAAAUGUCAAUCGAAACCUCGCAAGGCUUAACAUCAGUUUUUCUCGCUUCCCCUAUGAGUAUUAGUUACUAAAAUCAUGUUUUGAGAGAUUAUAAACUAUUUCCAAUUCAAAACAAUAGAAAAAUAAAUUUUUCCUCAUAAGGGCAUUUUGAUCAUUUUUCCUUUAAGGUCUCAAAACUCGCUAAAAAUGUAGUAAGCGAGUACAAAACACGUAAUUCAUAAUAAAAAAUAAGUUUAAACAUUUAAAACUUUCAUUUAAAAUGAAAUUAUGAUUAUUUCAAUAUAAUAAAAAUAUUCAAUAAAAUAUUAUAUUUUCUUAUAAAACAAUAUUUAUAAAGUUACCGGUAAAUAAUUUUCGUAGCGUAAAAGCUAAAUAAAUUCAUACAUAUUGUAAUAUAGUAAGCCAGAGUAUUUAACUUAAUUUAUAAUAACCAGUGAGCCCCCGAAUAACCAAAAAUAAGAAAAGACUGUAAACCUAUAGUUUGGAGGAUGCAACUCCAAUGGUAGCCCUCGAUGAAAAACAGUUAUCUACAGCCUAUUUUGAGCCUGAAAUGGGUGGAAAUGAGAGUGGUGAGAUUAUAUAAUCCUAGUGAGUAAAUAAACACCAUUCAAAAUAUCUAAAGACAAGUAAAUGGAGACGAUUAAAAUAUUCCAUCUCAAUAUGUAAUUCAUAACAUAAAUAUUCAUUUCAUUUAAAUAAUCAACAUGGCUUAUGAGUAUCAUAACAGCUUGGCUCCUGCCAAAAUCAUUCUCGAGAAUACCUUGGUCGAGGCAUUUAACCGAGUCCACCAAGGUUGUUAAAAAAUUCGUAUACACGUAAACAUUUCUUUAUUUUAAAAACACAACCGUUCCUUGGCGUUAGCGGAGUUCAUCAUCACGAAGUGGUUCGACGUGACAUGAACUGUAACCAUACCUCAAGAGAUACCCUACGUGCCUCUCCGACCAAGGUACAUAUAUAACUAGAUUCCGUGCCUUUCAAAAAGAUUGGUCCACAGAACUCGCCCACUGCAGCAAGCUAAUCCCACCAUACAAUAAAAUUUUGACAGCAUGGCAUGACUAAUAUUAUACUACCCAGCUUGUAAAUGUAAAACAGAACAAUUCAUACAGUUCACAAAUCAUAAUUCCAGCCAGUCAUGCCAACACAUUAUCAUAAGCCAUCAAUUAGAAUCAUAAAUUACAACGCAUCAAGUGGUCUUUAGUUACUCUAUUUUCAAAGCCAUCAUUCAAUUUUAAGACAAUUUAUAAAAUCAUUUUAUUUAAACACAUUUUGUUUAUAAAACCUAAAAAUUAACCAUUUAAACUCAUUUUCCAUAAAUUUCACAAAAUCGAAUAAAAAGACCACUUUAGAUAAUUAAAAUGAUGAUAAGGUUACUCACUAUUUCGGGAGUUGAAUUUCUAAAGUACUUUGACUAUCGAUCCUCGGGUAUGAUUUCUUUGCCCUUAGCGGAGGAUUCACCACCUAUAUAUCAUACGUGACACGAAUUUCAAUAAUUUAUGUCAAUUUAUCAUAAACUAUUUCAGGCUCUAUAAAUCUAUUUGAAUGCACGAAAUGUGAUGCAAAUUGUCCGAAUAGCCAUUUAAAUACGGUAUUCGACCUAAUUCGCACUAUUCUUGGUAUAAUUGGCUAAAACCUCCAAUUUAACUCCAAAUCGAUUUCUUUCACUUUCUACACUCCAAUUAUACUUAAAAUACCUCAAUGACUGUGAAUAUGAUUCAAUUUAUCAGUCCGAACCAUAAAUCGCACAUGUCUAUACAUUAGGUAAAAAUUCAGAUUUUCAUGCCAAAAUUUCCCAUUAAAUUUCUAGCCUCACCAAUCAUUAAAUACCACCAAAAUAUCAUGAAAUAUCAUCAAUUUCAGCCUCAAUAUCCUUCCUAGAAAAUUCGACCUCUUAUAGGUUUGUGAAGAACAAAGUGAUUCCUUGCUAAAAUUUCAUACUUUCCAUUACCAAACAACCAAAAACACUUAAUUAGCUUGAAAUCUAGCAAAAUCAAUGCUCAAAACCUCUCCUCAAAUUCGGCCAGCAUGGGUUCAUCAUGCAAACUUGAGUUCUAAGCAUGGGAAAUGAAAAAGAAAGCAUGGGUAGUGUAAAUCUCAAGAUAAAAUCACAAAAUUUUACUUUUAUUAGCUUAAUCCCUUAAAAUCCCACACUUUUUCUUCAAUUUUCCCACCUAGGGUUUGUGUUCUUUCUUUUCUUUCUUUGUUCUUCCUUUGGUUCUUGUUUUGGUCGGC
rnacentral:lncRNA from 1 species